AUUGAUAAACAUUUGAGUGAGUGGCGGACGGGUGAGUAACACGUGGGUAACCUGCCCUAAAGUGGGGGAUAACAUUUGGAAACAGAUGCUAAUACCGCAUAAAACCUAACACCGCAUGGUGUAGGGUUGAAAGAUGGUUUCGGCUAUCACUUUAGGAUGGACCCGCGGUGCAUUAGUUAGUUGGUGAGGUAAAGGCUCACCAAGACCGUGAUGCAUAGCCGACCUGAGAGGGUAAUCGGCCACACUGGGACUGAGACACGGCCCAGACUCCUACGGGAGGCAGCAGUAGGGAAUCUUCCACAAUGGACGAAAGUCUGAUGGAGCAACGCCGCGUGAGUGAAGAAGGUUUUCGGAUCGUAAAACUCUGUUGUUGGAGAAGAAUGUAUCUGAUAGUAACUGAUCAGGUAGUGACGGUAUCCAACCAGAAAGCCACGGCUAACUACGUGCCAGCAGCCGCGGUAAUACGUAGGUGGCAAGCGUUGUCCGGAUUUAUUGGGCGUAAAGCGAGCGCAGGCGGUUUCUUAAGUCUGAUGUGAAAGCCUU
rnacentral:rRNA from 1 species